rnacentral:rRNA from 1 species
AAUAUUGUGCAAUGGAGGGAACUCUGACGCAGCGACGCCGCGUGAGCGAUGAAGGUUUUCGGACCGUAAAGCCCUGUCCUUGGGGCAGAAGGCGGCCAUUUUUGGCAACCUUACGGUACCCACGGAGGAAGCCCCGGCUAACGACGUGCCAGCAGCCGCGGUAAUACGUAGGGGGCAAGCGUUGUCCGGAAUUAUUGGGCGUAAAGGGUGCGUAGGCGGCCUUUUAAGUCAGAUGUGAAAGACCACGGCUUAACCGUGGGGUUGCAUUUGAAACUGGAGGGCUUGAGUAUCGGAGAGGGUAGUUGAAUUCCCAGUGUAGCGGUGGAAUGCGUAGAUAUUGGGAGGAACACCAGUGGCGAAGGCGACUACCUGGACGAAAACUGACGCUGAGGCACGAAAGCUAGGGGAGCAAACA